AAAAUUGGCUGUAUUUAUUGUAAUUGGAGGCUUUAGCAUUGUAAAGUGUUCAUAUUUGUCUUAAUUUGAUGACUUUUGGCCUAAAUUCUACUUUGUCUGUUAUUGACUAAGGAUCAAGGGGCUAAGAAUAGCAGAAAUAAGCAUCACUGGAGGAUGGAGUUCAUACAUACAUAAUUUAUCUUCCCAUGUUUCUUCCCUUGCUGUAUUACUACAGUUGCCAACAACAACAACAACAACAAAAUCUGCCACCUACUACUGUGUUGCUUAGGACAGAUCCCUGAUCCUCUCUGAGAUCUACCUUCCACAUGUGUAAAAUGCAGAUUCCUAGUGGACCAGCAUCUACAGGAUUUUCCACAAAAAGGAAAUGCACCUCAUGAUGAAGCAUGAACGUUGCUAUAGAGAUCUGAUUGAUAGGCAGCUCUGCUUACCUUAAAUCCACAGCUACAUUUGUGAUGCUUUCAACCUUCAGAACCUUUCACGACAGAACAGGUUUUUACUCUCUCCCAGUUAGUCAUAUAAAAUGCAUAUUCCUACUUCUACUUAAUGCAUUCUCAAAUUUUUCUUCUCCAUUAAAAACAAAAACCCUCAAGUUACUAGAGUCAUUUCUCACGACCUUUUUUU
rnacentral:lncRNA from 1 species